GGGUUGUGAGGUUAAGCGAAUAAGCGUACACGGUGGAUGCCUAGGCAAUCAGAGGCGAUGAAGGACGUGCUAAUCUGCGAUAAGCGUCGGUAAGGUGAUAUGAACCGUUAUACCCGACGAUUUCCGAAUGGGGAAACCCAAUAUCCAAUGGAUAUUAUCAUUAACUGAAUACAUAGGUUAAUGAAGCGAACCGGGAGAACUGAAACAUCUCAGUACCCCGAGGAAAAGAAAUCAACCGAGAUUCCCCUAGUAGCGGCGAGCGAACGGGGAACAGCCCAGAGUCUUAAUCAAUAACAGCAUCAGGAGAACGGUCUGGAAAGUCCGGCAGUAAAGGGUGAUAGCCCCGUAUCCGAAGAUGCUGUUAUUGUGAACUCGACGAGUAGGGCGGGACACGUGUUAUCCUGUCUGAAUAUGGGGGGACCAUCCUCCAAGGCUAAAUACUCCUGAUUGACCGAUAGUGAACCAGUACCGUGAGGGAAAGGCGAAAAGAACCCCGGCGAGGGGAGUGAAAAAGAACCUGAAACCGUGUACGUACAAGCAGUAGGAGCCUCUUUAUGGGGUGACUGCGUACCUUUUGUAUAAUGGGUCAGCGACUUAUAUUCUGUAGCAAGGUUAACCGUAUAGGGGAGCCGUAGGGAAACCGAGUCUUAACUGGGCGAAUGAGUUGCAGGGUAUAGACCCGAAACCCGGUGAUCUAUCCAUGGGCAGGUUGAAGGUUGGGUAACACUAACUGGAGGACCGAACCGACUAAUGUUGAAAAAUUAGCGGAUGACUUGUGGAUGGGGGUGAAAGGCCAAUCAAACCGGGAGAUAGCUGGUUCUCCCCGAAAGCUAUUUAGGUAGCGCCUCGUGAAUUCAUCUUCGGGGGUAGAGCACUGUUUCGACUAGGGGGUCAUCCCGACUUACCAACUCGAUGCAAACUGCGAAUACCGAAGAAUGUUAUCACGGGAGACACACGGCGGGUGCUAACGUCCGUCGUGAAGAGGGAAACAACCCAGACCGCCAGCUAAGGUCCCAAAGUCAUGGUUAAGUGGGAAACGAAGUGGGAAGGCUCAGACAGCCAGGAUGUUGGCUUAGAAGCAGCCAUCAUUUAAAGAAAGCGUAAUAGCUCACUGGUCGAGUCGGCCCGCGCGGAAGAUGUAACGGGGCUAAACCAUGCACCGAAGCUGCGGCAGCGACACUAAGUGUUGUUGGGUAGGGGAGCGUUCUGUAAGCCUGCGAAGGUGUACUGUGAGGUAUGCUGGAGGUAUCAGAAGUGCGAAUGCUGACAUAAGUAACGAUAAUGCGGGUGAAAAACCCGCACGCCGGAAGACCAAGGGUUCCUGUCCUACGUUAAUCGGGGCAGGGUGAGUCGACCCCUAAGGCGAGGCUGAAAAGCGUAGUCGAUGGGAAACGGGUUAAUAUUCCCGUACUGGUGGUAACUGCGAUGGGGGAACGGAGAAGGCUAGGUUGUCCGGGCGACGGUCGUCCCGGUUCAAGCAUGUAGGCAGAGUGAUUAGGCAAAUCCGGUCACUUAAUGCUGAGGUGUGAUGACGAACCACUAAGGUGGUGAAGCAAUUGAUGCCCUGCUUCCAGGAAAAGCCUCUAAGCUUCAGGUUACCAACAAUCGUACCCCAAACCGACACAGGUGGUCAGGUAGAGAAUACUCAGGCGCUUGAGAGAACUCGGGUGAAGGAACUAGGCAAAAUGGUGCCGUAACUUCGGGAGAAGGCACGCUGGCGGUAAGUGAAGUCCCUUGCGGACGGAGCCGAAGCCAGUCGAAGAUACCAGCUGGCUGCAACUGUUUAUUAAAAACACAGCACUGUGCAAACACGAAAGUGGACGUAUACGGUGUGACGCCUGCCCGGUGCUGGAAGGUUAAUUGAUGGGGUUAUCCUUAGGGAGAAGCUCUUGAUCGAAGCCCCAGUAAACGGCGGCCGUAACUAUAACGGUCCUAAGGUAGCGAAAUUCCUUGUCGGGUAAGUUCCGACCUGCACGAAUGGCGUAAUGAUGGCCAGGCUGUCUCCACCCGAGACUCAGUGAAAUUGAACUCGCUGUGAAGAUGCAGUGUACCCGCGGCAAGACGGAAAGACCCCGUGAACCUUUACUAUAGCUUGACACUGAACAUUGAGCCUUGAUGUGUAGGAUAGGUGGGAGACUAUGAAGUGUGGACGCCAGUCUGCAUGGAGUCAACCUUGAAAUACCACCCUUUAACGUUUGAUGUUCUAACCUAGGCCCAUAAUCUGGGUCGGGGACCGUGUCUGGUGGGUAGUUUGACUGGGGCGGUCUCCUCCUAAAGAGUAACGGAGGAGCACGAAGGUUGGCUAAGCAUGGUCGGACAUCAUGCGGUUAGUGCAAAGGCAUAAGCCAGCUUGACUGUGAGAGUGACGGCUCGAGCAGGUACGAAAGUAGGUCUUAGUGAUCCGGUGGUUCUGAAUGGAAGGGCCAUCGCUCAACGGAUAAAAGGUACUCCGGGGAUAACAGGCUGAUACCGCCCAAGAGUUCAUAUCGACGGCGGUGUUUGGCACCUCGAUGUCGGCUCAUCACAUCCUGGGGCUGAAGUAGGUCCCAAGGGUAUGGCUGUUCGCCAUUUAAAGUGGUACGCGAGCUGGGUUUAGAACGUCGUGAGACAGUUCGGUCCCUAUCUGCCGUGGGCGUUGGAAGAUUGAGAGGGGUUGCUCCUAGUACGAGAGGACCGGAGUGAACGCACCACUGGUGUUCGGGUUGUCAUGCCAAUGGCAUUGCCCGGUAGCUAAGUGCGGAAGAGAUAACCGCUGAAAGCAUCUAAGCGGGAAACUUGCCUCGAGAUGAGUCUUCCCUGUCACCUAGAGUGACCUAAAGGAACGUUUAAGACUAAGACGUUGAUAGGCUGGGUGUGUAAGCGUAGCGAUACGUUGAGCUAACCAGUACUAAUGAACCGUGAGGCUUAACCUGACAACACCGAAGGUGUUU
rnacentral:rRNA from 1 species